rnacentral:rRNA from 1 species
AACCUGGUUGAUCCUGCCAGUAGUCAUAUGCUUGUCUCAAGGAUUAAGCCAUGCAUGUCUAAGUGUAAAUAAGUCUAUACUGUGCAAACUGCGAAUGGCUCAUUAAAUCAGUUAUCGUUUAUUUGAUGAUCUCUUAUUACUUGGAUAACCGUAUUAAUUCUAGAGCUAAUACAUGCACACAAUCCCGACUUCUGGAAGGGAUGUAU